rnacentral:lncRNA from 1 species
AGCACCUUGGCCUGCAACUUGCAGCCUGUGAGUCUUCUUUUUACCGUAGGCCCUGCCCAGUGAGGCCCUGGCUGCUGAGACUGCCACAGUAUGGGCCUGUGCACAGACCUUCUCUGCUGUUGGUAUGUAAAUUCAUAGAGAAGUAUAAAUGGAUAACAACAGAAAAUGGUAUUGGAACAGUGGAAAUCAGCAAUUUUGCACAGGAAGCUUUGGGAGAUGUUACUAGAGUCUCUGUGAAGUUGGGACAAAAUUGAACAAACAAGAUGAGUUUGGUGUUUGGGAAGUGUGAAAACUGCUAGUGAACUCUAUUCUCCUCUAUGAGGAGAAGUAACUGAAAUUAAUGAACCUUUUGUAGAAAAUCCAGGACUUACCAACGAAUCUUAUGAAAGUGGCUGACUGAUCAAGAUGACACUAAGUAACCCUUCAGAACUAGAUGGACUAACGAGUGAAGUGUAUGAGAAAUACACAAAAUCUAAUGAAGACU